UUGCCACCGUGAUGAUUGAACUCCACGACCCUUGGUUUACAAUACCAGUGCUCUAACCACUGAGCCAUGGUA